rnacentral:rRNA from 1 species
GGGGUGCUCGAGUGGCGAACGGGUGAGUAACACGUGAGUAACCUGCCCUUGACUUUGGGAUAACUUCAGGAAACUGGGGCUAAUACCGGAUAGGAGCUCCUGCUGCAUGGUGGGGGUUGGAAAGUUUCGGCGGUUGGGGAUGGACUCGCGGCUUAUCAGCUUGUUGGUGGGGUAGUGGUUUACCAAGGCUUUGACGGGUAGCCGGCCUGAGAGGGUGACCGGCCACAUUGGGACUGAGAUACGGCCCAG